GCCACAGCCUAGCCACACCGCUAAGGUCUGUCUAAUGAAAUCCUCCAAGUAUUGCUCACUUAGUCCUCAUAACAACCUUACAGGAUGAUUAUCCUCACUUACUGAUGUGGAAACUGAAGCUGAGCAAAGAUGUUAAAGAUGUCAAAUGUCACUGCAAUACCCAGAAUUUACACAGUUGCUCCCUGGAAGCCUCUGUGCUUGUCCUCAUGCUGUUGCCUACCUUGGGAAUGGAAUGUUCUCAUGUUCUGGCUGGCAAGCUCCUGACCAUACCAUAACACUCUCAGAAAAUAUGCUGUGAGGUGGAGAAGGCUGAUGGCUAGACAGAUGCUACAGACCCCAUUGGUGAAGGUGCCCUUUGCUUCAUGUUUGAAGUAAGUGGUUAUUUUUCUCUUUAUUCUUGUGGAGGGACAGGGUAUUAUGAAGUACAGGGAGAUGGGGAUUUCCAGCACCUGCAAUGGAGGUAGCUCAGUGGUGACACGAAGAAGUGGUUUCUGAUUUCUCCCAGUGAUGCGAUUCACAGGUCUGGAGUAUUUUGGAGAGAACAUUGAGAAUCAGAGCUUAUAUAAAUAGGCAUGAAGGCAGGAGGUUGACAAACGAUAAAAAGGGGUUCCAUGUUACAGAAAAAUGAUUUUUUCCCCCUGGAAAUGGAAGUGAAAUACCAGGAGCAAAGAUGAGGGGCCGCCAGAGAAGUUACAGUGAGGGGCUGCUCAGGUUGUUGUCCUGAAAUAGAGGAAUGAUCCUUGCAGUCUGGUGACUCACCUCUCACUCCAGUCAGUGCUUCCUGAAAAAGGCAGGAGCUCUGAGACACUAACAGUAAACUUAUCCCUUCGAGAAGCACCUCUCAUCCUCAGGCUGGUCUGCUGAUCUCCUCAUGCCCCCGGGGCAGGAUUAGAGGCCUUGAAAUGCUGCCCUAUCGGUGUGACUUCUCAUCUCUACUCAAGAACGCACUGGCAGCUUCCCUUGGCAGCUGAUCACACAGCGAGGACCGGCAAGGCUCUUAGGCUUUCAAGACAGCAGGACACCCUUGGGGAAUAGGCCUCUUGCUGGAGGUCACAGCACCCAGAGAACGAUUGCAGUGGUUCUCAACCUUCCUAAUGCCGCGACCCUUUAAUACAGUUCCUCAUGCUGUGGUGACCCCCAACCAUAAAAUUAUU